rnacentral:rRNA from 1 species
AUUGAACGCUGGCGGCAUGCUUUACACAUGCAAGUCGGACGGCAGCAUAGAAGAGCUUGCUCUUUUGAUGGCGAGUGGCGAACGGGUGAGUAAUGCAUCGGAACGUACCGAGUAGUGGGGGAUAACUGUCCGAAAGGAUGGCUAAUACCGCAUAUUCUCUGAGGAGGAAAGCAGGGGACCUUAGGGCCUUGCGCUAUUUGAGCGGCCGAUGUCUGAUUAGCUAGUUGGUGGGGUAAGAGCCCACCAAGGCGACGAUCAGUAGCGGGUCUGAGAGGAUGAUCCGCCACACUGGGACUGAGACACGGCCCAGACUCCUACGGGAGGCAGCAGUGGGGAAUUUUGGACAAUGGGCGCAAGCCUGAUCCAGCCAUGCCGCGUGUAUGAAGAAGGCCUUCGGGUUGUAAAGUACUUUUGUCAGGGAAGAAAAGCCCGGGGAUAACACCCUCAGGUCAUGACGGUACCUGAAGAAUAAGCACCGGCUAACUACGUGCCAGCAGCCGCGGUAAUACGUAGGGUGCGAGCGUUAAUCGGAAUUACUGGGCGUAAAGCGAGCGCAGACGGUUAUUUAAGCAAGAUGUGAAAGCCCCGGGCUCAACCUGGGAACUGCGUUUUGAACUGGGUAACUAGAGUGUGUCAGAGGGGGGUAGAAUUCCACGUGUAGCAGUGAAAUGCGUAGAGAUGUGGAGGAAUACCGAUGGCGAAGGCAGCCCCCUGGGAUAACACUGACGUUCAUGCUCGAAAGCGUGGGUAGCAAACAGG